rnacentral:rRNA from 1 species
UACAGGGGGUGCAAGCGUUACUCGGAAUCAUUGGGCGUAAAGAGCGUGUAGGCGGUUCGGUAAGUCUCAUGUGAAAGCCCUGGGCUCAAUCCAGGAAGUGCAUGAGAUACUGCCAAACUAGAGUGCAGGAGAGGUGAGCGGAAUUCCAGGUGUAGAGGUGAAAUUCGUAGAUAUCUGGAGGAACAACAGCGGCGAAGGCGGCUCACUGGACUGUAACUGACGCUUAGGCGCGAAAGCGUGGGGAGCAAACAGG